rnacentral:rRNA from 1 species
CACGUAGGGGGCGAGCGUUGUCCGGAAUCAUUGGGCGUAAAGAGCUCGUAGGCGGCUCGGUAAGUCGGGUGUGAAACCCCCAGGCUCAACCUGGGGACGCCACCCGAUACUGCUGUGGCUAGAGUCCAGUAGGGGAGUGUGGAAUUCCCGGUGUAGCGGUGAAAUGCGCAGAUAUCAGGAGGAACACCAAUAGCGAAGGCAGCUCGCUGGGACGGUACUGACGCUGAGGUGCGAAAGCGUGGGGAGCAAACAGG